CAGUUCGGACUGGAGUCUGCAACCCGACUCCACGAAGUUGGAUUCGCUAGUAAUCGCGCAUCAGCCAUGGCGCGGUGAAUACGUUCCCGGGCCUUGUACACACCGCCCGUCAAGCCAUGGGAGCCGGGGGCGCCUGAAGUCCGGGACCGCGAGGACCGGCCUAGGGCGAAACUGGUAACUGGGGCUAAGUCGUAACAAGGUACC
rnacentral:rRNA from 1 species